GAUGAACGCUGGCGGCGUGCCUAACACAUGCAAGUCGAGCGAAGCACUUACUUUAGAUUUCUUCGGAAUGACGAAGUUUGUGACUGAGCGGCGGACGGGUGAGUAACGCGUGGGCAACCUGCCCUGUACAGGGGGAUAACAGUUAGAAAUGACUGCUAAUACCGCAUAAGCCCACAGCUUCGCAUGAAGCAGUGGGAAAAACUCCGGUGGUACAGGAUGGGCCCGCGUCUGAUUAGCUAGUUGGUAAGGUAACGGCUUACCAAGGCGACGAUCAGUAGCCGACCAGAGAGGGUGACCGGCCACAUUGGGACUGAGACACGGCCCAAACUCCUACGGGAGGCAGCAGUGGGGAAUAUUGCACAAUGGGGGAAACCCUGAUGCAGCGACGCCGCGUGAGCGAUGAAGUAUUUCGGUAUGUAAAGCUCUAUCAGCAGGGAAGAAAGUGACGGUACCUGACGAAGAAGCCCCGGCUAACUACGUG
rnacentral:rRNA from 1 species